rnacentral:lncRNA from 1 species
UCCCCUCACUUUUGAUUUUCAAAAACCUGGAUCCUUGUUGAAAUAGGAAGGGCUCAAAGCAAAGACAAAAUAUUUUGGAGAAUGUUUUAUUAAGAGCAAACUUUCUUUCUGCCCACUCUAAGAAAAAAGAGAGCUAAAGAAGAAUUCAACAGUGGUGGGUCCCACAGAGAGGAUAUCUGUGCCAUCUUCAUUGGCUGAUUGCUGGACAGGUGGGGUAGAGUGGCAGAAAAUCUUGAAAUAGGUUUAUGUCCCAAUGCCCGGAUAGAUACUACGGAAACAGCAAGUUCCAAAAAUAAAAAUGCUUUGUUUUGUCUAGGUCUUCUACUUCUCCAUCGAAUUUCCCAUAUCUUAGCAUUAUGUUAUAGGAGCAACAGAAUAAUCUCCAUGUGUGCAAGAAUGCUACUCAAGGAUGCAAGAACCUGGAUGCCAAAUCCAUCCUCUCUGGGUGAAGUGGGAAUGUGUGAGGACGACAGGUCUAAGUCCAAAUUAAAUAAAAAGACACACUCACAGAAAAG